GCUUCCUGCUGAUCGCCGCUAUAAGCAUGGCAAUUAUUAGUCUCACGUCUAUGUAUGGUCAUGCUAAGAAAUUAUGUUCAAACUUGAAGGUUGUUAUUUUCUUGUGAAUUUAAUCACAACUUGUCUUCUUCCUGUGACUGAAAUCCAGUGUGUUAAGAUGUCUUGAGAUGCAUUGUUCUCAUGGGAGGAACGUAUUAGAUUGAAAUCUAGUGUAUUAAGAAGAUG
rnacentral:lncRNA from 1 species